rnacentral:lncRNA from 1 species
AGGAUGAGAUGGUUGAAUGGCAUCACUGACUCAAUGGAGAUGAGUUUGAGUAAACUCUAGGAGUUAGUGAUGGACAGGGAGGCCUGGCGUGCUGCAGUCCAUGGAGUCACGAAGAGUUGGACACGGCUGAGCAACUGAACUGAACUCAGCUUAGACUGAGGGGAUGUUUUAUGUUACUUCAUUUUCUGGCAAUCAUUGUUGGGCAUACCUUCUUAACAGUGAAUAACUUGUAUUUAUUAUUCCCCAUGAGAGGUCUACUCAACUAUUUGCUAAAAUCUCUUCUACCCUCAUCCAUUUAUUUUCUCUAGAUCUGUUCCUUCAACAGUAGCACAUUAAGAAAUGACCCUGGUCCUGGUGUGUAGUUUGAGAACUGUAAAAUAUCCCUGAUUGAUCUUCUCUACUAAGGAACCCCUCUGACCCAUAGUAGACCAGUAUUUCCAUACCAUUGUAAAACCAGACCUAAAGACAGUAUGUCCACUACAACAAUGCUUAGCCAACUUGAAUAUGCUUAUGAGUCACCUGGGAAUCUGGUUAGGAUAAGGACACUAAUCCAAGAGGUCUGGAAUGAGGCCCAAUAUUGUGCAUUUCUUACCCCUCCCCAGGUGUUGCUGAUGCUGCUGGUCCCUGGGCUUCAUCUUGAGGAAAGAUGCACUACACCACUAACUGUUCUUUAUACACAGCUUUAUGUGAAAAGAGAGAGACAGCUACACAAACCUACUGAGGCUGAAGCCAGUCAACCAAGCAUAGUCUGUGAUGUUCCAUUUGUACUAAAUGAGGUCAUCUCUGAACCCCAUAAGUCAUCGAGAAAAGACCAUGGCUGCUAG